GCCGCCGCGGUAGACGUAGGACACAAGCGUUAUCCGGAUUUCUGGGCGUAAAGCGUCUGCAGGCGGACAGGUAAGUUGGGCGUGAAAGCUCCGGGCCCAACCCGGAGAGGUCGUUCAAUACUGCGUGUCUAGAGGGUGUCAGAGGGGAGUGGAAUUUCCGGAGUAGCGGUAAAAUGCGCAGAGAUCGGAAAGAACACCAAUGGCGAAGGCAGCUCCCUGGGGCAACCCUGACGCUAAGAGACGAAAGCUAGGGGAGCGAACAGGAUUAGAGACCCUGGUAGUCCUAGCCCUAAACGAUGGAUGCUGGAUGUGGGGCCAUAGCGCUCCGUGUCGAAGCGAACGCGUUAAGCAUCCCGCCUGGGGACUACGGCCGCAAGGUUAAAACUCAAACGAAUUGACGGGACCCCGCACAAGCAGCGGAGCGUGUGGUUUAAUUCGAUGCUACACGAAGAACCUUACCUGGGUUUGACAUCUAGGUGGUAGUGAAGCGAAAGCGGAGCGACCCUUCGGGGAGCCUAGACAGGUGCUGCAUGGCUGUCGUCAGCUCGUGCCGUGAGGUGUCGGGUUAAGUCCCGUAACGAGCGCAACCCUUGCCCUCCGUUAUACGUGUCAGAGGGGACUGCCGGCGGUAAGCCGGAGGAAGGUGGGGAUGACGUCAAGUCAGCAUGGCCUUUAUAUCCAGGGCUACACACACGCUACAAUGGCCAGUACAAAGGGCAGCGAAGCCGUGAGGUGGAGCGAAUCCCAGCAAAGCUGGUCGUAGUUCGGAUUGCAGGCUGCAACCCGCCUGCAUGAAGCUGGAGUUGCUAGUAACCGCGCGUCAGCCAUAGUGCGGUGAAUACGUUCCCGGGGUUUG
rnacentral:rRNA from 1 species